rnacentral:lncRNA from 1 species
AUGAAAAGUGAUGUCGGCCAUUUUGUGUGUUUGUUUACACAAAUACACACCUUUCCCUUUCAUAGAAGACUCUGUUUGCAUGUUCUCCUUCAGACGUCCACCAGCCAAUCAGGAGGAAGUGCCAACGCCGCCGCAGCUAAUGGCUACCAGGACGCUAGCUCCCACGCAGCCAAUCAGGUACAUUCAGGUGACCUCCUCCGCAGCGUACGGCAACAACAACAACAGCAAACCGAGCAGCCCCCCCCCCUCCGCCCUUCCCCCCUCCUCCCUCUGCUGAGGAGGCGGGCCUCCGACCCCGUUCCCCACGGUAACCGGCGGCGGGGGGGGGUUGCCGGGGAAACGCACACCAGGUACACCUACGGCCUCGGCCAGGGCCAAACCGCCUCUGGUACGGCACAGCCGCGUCGUCAUGACGACGUCGGCCCCCUGGCGCACAGCCAUACGUGGGGCAGCCUGCACCGGCCCGCCGCCGCCGCCGCCGCCACCGGGAACCUGAACCGGGACGCGACACGCCCCCACGCGCGGUCGCGCACCCCGGAUAAUGGGGGCCGGCGUUCGGCCCUGCGUGCCGGGCAAGCCCCCGGCGACGGGCGCGCCCGUAGUGGCGAUCGUGGGCGGGACCCGGUCGCGCCCGAUCAGAGUUACGCCGACAACAUCCGGGCCAUGGCGGACCAGAUGUACGGGGACCCCCCACGCCACGUGCCUGCACGUUGUCACGGCAACCAAAACACCGGCAGAUGCGAGGACGUGCGGGUUCAUGGGGACACACAGGGUUAUGGGGACAGACGGGUUUAUGAGGACAGACAGGGUUAUGAGGACAGACGGGUAAAUGGGGACACUCGGGCUUAUGAGAACACAGAGGCCUAUGUGGACAGACGGGUUAAAGGAGACACACAGGCCUAUUUGGACAGACGGGUUAAUGGGGACACACAGGUUAAUGGGGACAGGCGGGUUAUUGGGGACACACAGGUUUAUAAGGACAGACAGGGUAAUGGGGAAACGCAGGGUCAUGGGAACACAAAGAGUUAUGAAGACACACAGGUUUAUAAGGACAGACGGGUUAAUGGGGACACACAAGCUUAUGAGGACGGACGGGUUAAGGGGGACACACAGGCCUAUUUGGACAGACGGGUUAAUGGGGACAGACUGGUUAAUGGGGGCACACAGACUUAUGUGGACAGACGGGUUAAUGGGGACACACAGGCUUAUGAGGACGGACGAGUUAAAGGUGACACACAGGCCUAUUUGGACAGACGCGUUUAUAAGGACAGACAGGGUUAUGGGGAAACGCCGGGUCAUGGGAACACAAAGAGUUAUGAGGACCGAUGGGUUUCAAGGGUUCAUGAGGACGCAAAGAGUUAUGAAGACACACAGGUUUAUAAGGACAGACGGGUUAAUGGGGACACACAGGCUUAUGAGGACAAACGCAUAUAUAGGGGAACCACCGUAGACUAUGAGGACUCUCGCAGAUAUCAGGACAGGCCGGUGUAUGGGGACACACAGGUUUAUGAGGACAGACCGGGUUAUGGGGACACUCGCAUAAACAGGGGAAGCCCAGAUUAUGAGGAUUUACACAGAUAUCAGGACAGGCCGGUUUAUGGAGACACUCACCGAUCUCGGGCAAAACCAGAAUACGAGGACUCGUACAGAUACUGGGACUCGUACAGAUACCGGGACUCACAGCGUUGUGAGGACAUGCAGAGGUUUUGGGACAUGCCGGAUUAUGGGGACACAGCAGAUUAUGAACACACAUACAGCCACAAACACGGGUACAACGACGCACAUAACUAUACGCACAACCAGGCACUGACUAAACACCAUUACCUCAGAGUCUCCAGUGGACUCUGA